CAGGGAUUGCCCCAGUAACGGCGAGUGAAGCGGCAACAGCUCAAAUUUGAAAUCUGGCCCCCCGCGGGCCCGAGUUGUACUUUGGAGAGGACGCUUCUGGCGCGGCGCCGGCCGAGUGCCCUGGAACGGGCCGCCGGAGAGGGUGAGAGCCCCGUACGGCCGGCCGCCUAGCCUCUGCGAAGCUCCUUCGACGAGUCGAGUAGUUUGGGAAUGCUGCUCAAAAUGGGAGGUAAAUUUCUUCUAAAGCUAAAUACCGGCCAGAGACCGAUAGCGCACAAGUAGAGUGAUCGAAAGAUGAAAAGCACUUUGAAAAGAGGGUUAAACAGUACGUGAAAUUGCUGAAAGGGAAGCGCCUGUGGCCAGACUUGCGCCCCGCGGACCACCCGGCGCCCGCGCCGGGGCACGCCGCGGGGCGCAGGCCAGCAUCGGCUCUCCCAGGGGGACAAAGGCCGCGGGAACGUAGCGCCCUCGGGCGUGUUACAGCCCGCGGCGCCAUGCCCCUGGGGGGGCCGAGGACCGCGCUCCGGCAAGGAUGCUGGCGUAAUGGCCACCGGCGACCCGUCUUGAAACACGGACCAAGGAGUCAAGCAGUGGGGCGAGUGUCUGGGUGGCAAACCCGCACGCGGAAUGAAAGUGAACGCAGGUGGGAGCUUCGGCGCACCACCGACCGAUCCUGAUGUCUUCGGAUGGAUUUGAGUAGGAGCCUUGCCGCUUGGACCCGAAAGAUGGUGAACUAUGCCUGUAUAGGGUGAAGCCAGAGGAAACUCUGGUGGAGGCUCGCAGCGGUUCUGACGUGCAAAUCGAUCGUCAAAUAUGGGCAUGGGGGGCGAAAGACUANNCGAAACCAUCUAGUAGCUGG
rnacentral:rRNA from 1 species